AUUGAACGCUGGCGGCAGGCCUAACACAUGCAAGUCGAGCGGAGCGGCGGACGGGUGAGUAAUUCCUAGGUAUCUGCCUGGCAGAGGGGGGUAACGUCCUGAUACGGGCGCUAAUUCCGCAUACUAUCAGUUGAGUCUAGGUCGGAUUAGCUAGUUGGUGGGGUAAAGGCCUACCAAGGCGACGAUCCGUAACUGGUCUGCGAGGAGGAUCAGGCACACUGGAACUGAGACACGGUCCAGACUCCUACGGGAGGCAGCAGUGGGGAAUAUUGGACAAUGGGCGAAAGCCUGAUCCAGCCAUGCCGCGUGUGUGAAGAAGGUCUUCGGAUUGUAAAGCACUUUAAGUUGGGAGGCGUUACCAACAGAAGAAGCACCGGCUAACUUCGUGCCAGCAGCCGCGGUAAUUC
rnacentral:rRNA from 1 species